GAUGAACGCUGGCGGCGUGCCUAAUACAUGCAAGUCGAGCGAACAGAUAAGGAGCUUGCUCCUUUGACGUUAGCGGCGGACGGGUGAGUUACACGUGGAUAACCUACCUAUAAGACUGGGAUAACUUCGGGAAACCGGAGCUAAUACCGGAUAACAUAUUGAACCGCAUGGUUCAAUAGUGAAAGGCGGCUUUGCUGUCACUUAUAGAUGGAUCCGCGCCGUAUUAGCUAGUUGGUAAGGUAACGGCUUACCAAGGCAACGAUACGUAGCCGACCUGAGAGGGUGAUCGGCCACACUGGAACUGAGACACGGUCCAGACUCCUACGGGAGGCAGCAGUAGGGAAUCUUCCGCAAUGGGCGAAAGCCUGACGGAGCAACGCCGCGUGAGUGAUGAAGGUCUUCGGAUCGUAGAACUCUGUUAUCAGGGAAGAACAAAUGUGUAAGUAACUGUGCACAUCUUGACGGUACCUGAUCAGAAAGCCACGGCUAACUACGUG
rnacentral:rRNA from 1 species